rnacentral:rRNA from 1 species
GACGAACCGAGCGGACGUUGUUCGGAAUCACUGGGCUUAAAGGGCGCGUAGGCGGAUUCUCAAGUCCGGGGUGAAAUCCUCCAGCUCAACUGGAGAACUGCCUCGGAUACUGGGUGUCUCGAGGGUGGUAGGGGUAUGCGGAACUAUCGGUGGAGCGGUGAAAUGCGUUGAUAUCGAUAGGAACUCCGGUGGCGAAGGCGGCAUACUGGACCACAUCUGACGCUGAGGCGCGAAAGCUAGGGGAGCAAACAGG